CCUACGGGAGGCAGCAGUGAGGAAUAUUGGUCAAUGGACGAGAGUCUGAACCAGCCAAGUAGCGUGAAGGAUGACUGCCCUAUGGGUUGUAAACUUCUUUUAUAUGGGAAUAAAAUGUUCCACGUGUGGGAUUUUGUAUGUACCAUAUGAAUAAGGAUCGGCUAACUCCGUGCCAGCAGCCGCGGUAAUACGGAGGAUCCGAGCGUUAUCCGGCUUUAUUGGGUUUAAAGGGAGCGUAGGUGGAUUGUUAAGUCAGUUGUGAAAGUUUGCGGCUCAACCGUAAAAUUGCAGUUGAAACUGGCAGUCUUGAGUACAGUAGAGGUGGGCGGAAUGCGUGGUGUAGCGGUGAAAUGCUUAGAUAUCACGAAGAACUCCGAUUGCGAAGGCAGUUCACUGGACUGCAACUGACACUGAGGCUCGAAAGUGUGGGUAUCAAACAGGAUUAGAUACCCCAGUAGUC
rnacentral:rRNA from 1 species